GGAUAUAGCUCAGUUGGUAUAGUGCUUGCCUCGGAUGCACAAGGCCCUGGGUUCAACCCCCAGCACCA
rnacentral:tRNA from 1 species